rnacentral:rRNA from 2 species
AAAUUGAAGAGUUUGAUCAUGGCUCAGAUUGAACGCUGGCGGCAGGCCUAACACAUGCAAGUCGAACGGUAACAGGAAGCAGCUUGCUGCUUUGCUGACGAGUGGCGGACGGGUGAGUAAUGUCUGGGAAACUGCCUGAUGGAGGGGGAUAACUACUGGAAACGGUGGCUAAUACCGCAUAACGUCGCAAGACCAAAGAGGGGGACCUUCGGGCCUCUUGCCAUCAGAUGUGCCCAGAUGGGAUUAGCUUGUUGGUGAGGUAACGGCUCACCAAGGCGACGAUCCCUAGCUGGUCUGAGAGGAUGACCAGCCACACUGGAACUGAGACACGGUCCAGACUCCUACGGGAGGCAGCAGUGGGGAAUAUUGCACAAUGGGCGCAAGCCUGAUGCAGCCAUGCCGCGUGUAUGAAGAAGGCCUUCGGGUUGUAAAGUACUUUCAGCGGGGAGGAAGGUGUUGUGGUUAAUAACCGCAGCAAUUGACGUUACCCGCAGAAGAAGCACCGGCUAACUCCGUGCCAGCAGCCGCGGUAAUACGGAGGGUGCAAGCGUUAAUCGGAAUUACUGGGCGUAAAGCGCACGCAGGCGGUCUG